UUUAGCCUCAAAGGAAGGAAGGGGAAGAGGAGACUUGAAGAACUCUCAGUUUAUCGAGUUCUAAUAAGUAUAAAAAAAAUCAACAGUGUCUGCAUAUAUUUUAUUGUAUACGUUCUAUUGCAUUUUCAAUUAUCAUAUAUUUAAUAUCAAGAGGUAUUGCAUUACAGUGACAUAAUUCUACAUGAUUGCCAAUAGAAAUGGGAUGAAUACCUGUUUGUUCAAAUGUAAAGUAUACUUGUUCAUCUCUAAAAACUUUACUUAAACCAUUUAGGGGCAAUAAUGAAAUCACAACCUGGGUCUACUAGCAUGGAUGCUGAAAGCCAGAUUGCAGAGACCCUUAAACAUGCACCAGGUCUGGUUAGGAGAAAGGCUAAUCGAUCAGUUACUCCACAUUUACAAGAUGGCUCAUUGGACCUCUUCUCAUAAUUUUAAUUUUACCUGUGCCUGCCACCCAUCAUUCUCUGUCCCCUGACUGCCUGCAUGGUUUUGACUUGUGCCUGGCGACUGGUUUCUGCGCUUGCCCUUUCCCACUGGAUUUGUUUAUCUUUAUUGGACUGUCUACC